rnacentral:pre_miRNA from 1 species
GAAACUCAAAUUUGUAUGGAGUUGGAACAGCGCCCCUAGCGGCAAACGUAGGCAAACGUUCCAACUCCAUACAAUUUCAAUUA